rnacentral:rRNA from 1 species
GGAAGUAAAAGUCGUAACAAGGUCUCCGUUGGUGAACCAGCGGAGGGAUCAUUACUGAGUUACCGCUCUAUAACCCUUUGUGAACAUACCUACAACUGUUGCUUCGGCGGGUAGGCCGUCCCCUGAAAAGGACGCCUCCCGGCCCGGACCGGACCCCCCGCGGGACCGGACCCGGCGCCCGCCGGAGGAUAACCAAACUCUAUUGUAACGACGUUUCUUCUGAGUGGCAUAAGCAAAAUAAUCAAAACUUUUAACAACGGAUCUCUUGGUUCUGGCAUCGAUGAAGAACGCAGCGAAAUGCGAUAAGUAAUGUGAAUUGCAGAAUUCAGUGAAUCAUCGAAUCUUUGAACGCACAUUGCGCCCGCCAGCAUUCUGGCGGGCAUGCCUGUUCGAGCGUCAUUUCAACCCUCAAGCUCUGCUUGGUGUUGGGGCUCUACGGUCGACGUAGGCCCUCAAAGGUAGUGGCGGACCCUCCCGGAGCCUCCUUUGCGUAGUAACAUUUCGUCUCGCACUGGGAUCCGGAGGGACUCUUGCCGUAAAACCCCCCAAUUUUCCAAAGGUUGACCUCGGAUCAGGUAGGAAUACCCGUUGAACUUAAGCAUAUC